rnacentral:rRNA from 1 species
UACGUAGGGACCGAGCGUUGUCCGGAAUCAUUGGGCGUAAAGAGCGUGUAGGCGGCCACUUAAGUCCUGCGUGAAAUCUUGCGGCUCAACCGCAAGCGGUCGUGGGAAACUGGGUGGCUAGAGUGCGGGAGAGGAGAGUGGAAUUCCUGGUGUAGCGGUGGAAUGCGCAGAUAUCAGGAAGAACACCCGUGGCGAAGACGGCUCUCUGGAACGCAACUGACGCUGAGACGCGAAAGCGUGGGGAGCAAACAGG